CUUGCCCUGUGCUGGGCAGGUCCUUCAGCCCCUUCUGUCCUCCCUUCUCCCUGGCAGUGGACAACAUCCUCAUCCCAGAGAACCGGGCCCAUUUGUCCCCAGAGGUGCAGCUGAAGGAGCUGCUGGAGAAACUGGACCUGGUGAGCGCCAUGCGGUCCAGUGGGGCCCGCACCCGCCGUGUCCGCCUGCUACGCCGGGAGAUCAAUGCCCUUCGGCAGAAGCUGGCACAGCCACCACCACCACAGCCACCAUCACUCAACAAGACAGUAUCCAAUGGGGAGCUGCCAGCAGGGCCCCAGGGGGAUGCAGCUGUGCUGGAGCAGGCCUUGCAGGAGGAGCCAGAAGACGAUGGGGACAGAGGUUCUCUUUUUUUCUAAUAGAUGACUCCAAACUGCCUCCUCCGCCAACCCUGGAGCCCACUGGGCCUGCACCUUCCUUGUCUGAGCAAGAAUCUCCCCCGGAGCCCCCUACUCUGAAACCCAUCAAUGAUAGCAAACCUCCAGGCCGGUUUCUAAAGCCCAGAAAGGUGGAAGAAGAUGAGCUCUUGGAAAAAUCACCACUGCAGCU
rnacentral:sRNA from 1 species